rnacentral:rRNA from 1 species
AUGAGAGCAUCAGCACUACUUCCCCAAGCGAGGGGUUCCUCCACCUUCUUCCCCGGGCCCAAAUCGCCUGACCCCCUCGCCCUCACCAAUGCGCUCUCCGCAGCCUCCCGCUCCUCUAGGCCACCGUCGCACCUCCACGCGCAGGUCCUCAAGCUCGGCAUGUCCGGCGACACCUUCACCACGAACCACCUCCUCAUCUCCUACUCCAGAAGCGGGCUCCUCGGGGGCGCGCUGGCCGUGUUCGACGAAAUGCCGCACAGGAACCUGGUUUCCUGGACCGCCAUGGUGUCCGCCUCGACACGCGGCGGCGCGGCCGAACUGGGCAUCCGGCUGUUCGUCUCCAUGCUGAGGAGCGGCUUCUGCCCGAACGAGUUCUCUCUCGCCAGCGCGCUCCGUGCUGCCUGUGAUCGGUCCGCGGCCCGUGCCAAGCUCCAGUUCGGCGCCUCGCUCCAUGGCGUCGCGGUCAAGGUCGGCGUGGAUGCCGAUCCUUUCCUGGGAAGCUCAUUGCUGCUCAUGUAUGCCAGACAUGGGCGUGUUGCUGCUGCGGAGCGCGCAUUUGCGGACGUCCGGUGCAAAGACUUGACGUGCUGGAACGCGAUGCUGGAUGGCUAUGUCUCCAAUGGCUGUGGAUAUGGCGCGAUGAGGGCAGCGGCUCUGAUGCAUCAAUGUGGGCUACAAGCUGACAUGUUCACCUACGUUUCAGCUCUCAAGGCAUGUUCCAUCACGGGGGAGUUGGAUUUUGGACGACGGCUUCAUGGAUGUGUCAUCCAUAACAUGUUUGAGUCCGAUGCCUCCGUGAUGAAUGCGCUUGUCGAUAUGUAUUUGAGCUCCGGGCUGACGGACAUUGCCAUGGCUGCUUUUGGUAGGAUCCGGCAAAAGGACACGAUUUCUUGGAACACACUGAUAUCCCGUUUCGCGCAUGAUGAAGACGAUAGAGCAGCUGCAUGCUGCUUUGCUGAUAUGCCGCUAUCGGGUUCUAAGCCUAAUGAAGUCACUUUCUCUAUCAUGCUGAGGCUGAGUGGUGCUAAAGAGAACGCCUCACUUGGUCUUCAGGUAUUCAGCCUUUCCUAUCGUCAUGGCUACUCCGACGAUGUUCUUGUAGCAAAUGCAGUUAUCAACAUGCUUUCGAGAUGUGGAUUACUCAACGGCGCACAUGGCUUCUUCUGUAACCUCAAGUUCAGAAACAUUGUGACUUGGAACGAGAUGAUUGCAGGUUAUGGUCUGUACAGCUGUUCUGAAGAUGCAAUGAGGCUCUUCCGCGGCAUGGUUUGUUUCGAUGAAAGACCAGAUGAGUUCACCUAUUCAGCUGUUUUGUCUGCUUUCCGAGAAUCUCAUGAAGCAAGGAACCAUGAGCAACUCCAUGCAAUUAUUCUGAAACAAGGUGUUGCUUCACGGCAGUUUGUGUCAACUUCACUGAUCAAGGCAAAGGCAGUGUUUGGAUCAGUUCAGGAUGCGCUGAAAGUCAUUGAGGACACUGGCGAGAUGGAUUUUGUGUCAUGGGGUGUCAUCAUCACUUCAUUCCUCAAGCAUGGCUUGAACAAUGAGGUCCUUUUCCUUUUUGACUUGUUUAGAAGUGACCAAAUGAACAAACCUGACGAGUUCAUCCUAGCUACAGCCCUGAAUGCCUGUGCGAACGCUGCAUUGAUCCGGCAGUCCAGAUGUAUCCAUUCAAUUGUUGUCAGGACGGGGCACAGGAAGCACUUCUGCGUGGCGAGCGCUCUAGUCGAUGCGUACGCAAAGUGCGGUGACAUAUCGGCUGCGGAGAGUGCAUUACCACUAUUUCAUCAGUAA